CGCAACUUGACCGCGAUGGUUGACCUUAGGCUGAUUAUUCAUAUCGAUUAUUUCAUUAGUAUGAAUAAGGGAUGCUUAGGGUAUCAAUGUAUAUUUAUAUGCAGUAAGUUUGUAUACAAUGCACUCCUUUUCAAUAAUAGGUUGUGCCUCAUUAUGUAUUAUAAUACAAAGUUCAGCCAUCGGGGUCAAGUUGCGUCCACUAUAUCAUAAGUUAAAUUUACACAAAAUAAGCUUCUUAUUCAAUAAAAUGUUAAAACAUUACACACAUUGUCUUGGCCUAAUAUAUGUCAAUGUCAAUGUCAAUUUGUAAUUAGAUACUUGUUAUUUCUCAUUUUCUUCAUGCAAAGCAUGUAUAAUUACCAUCAUGGAAACACAAAAGAAUACAGUUAUUUCGUGGUGCCUCUUUAAAGCAGACUAUUCUGAUUUGGGUAAAGAAAUGGAUUUGUUCUGACAAUUCUACAAUUCAUCGUUAAUUUUUAUUCACUUAGCGCUUUAAACAUGCAAUUUUUAAAUGGAGUUUGUUUGUUGUUUUUUUUUCAUUAGAUUUUCAUAUCCUAGUUGCCCAACCAAAACAGUGUUAUUUUACAAUAAGGCCUAAAAAGAUUGUUUGUUUCCGGUAGCAUGCUAAAAAUAGGUAUUUAUUUAUUUAUUUAUUAUAUAUAAGUGGGACUUUUCGGAAAUUGUUUUUGUGUCUAAAAAUGAAUGCAAAUAAGGGGGAUAUGCCUUUAGAGCAUAGUUGAUUUCUAACAUCACUGACCAUCUUUAAAGCAUAAAAAGUGCAGUUUUGCAACUUUGUGUUAAAAUGUUGAAAAACAAAUUCUCCAGGGUCAUAAAAUCAUUUAGGGUCGGGCCAAAAAUUUAGGGUAGGUUGGGAUACUGGAAACAAACAAAUUUUAUGCCUAAGUUUAAAUUUGAUAUACAUGCUUUGCCCAAGGAAUGACAUAAAUAUGAAACCUAUUGUAUUAUAUUUGUUAAAUAUUUGCUUAAAAGACUACAUAUUUAACUAAAUUCGUUAGAAAUGCAAGAUUGAGAGGCUGUUAUCACAUCCAUUUGCCUAUUUUGGUUGUGCAACUAUAUCAGUUCAGAAGCUGUAUAUGUUGUUUUAAAACUUGCAUUUUUGGAUAUCCUGGUAUCUAUCAAAUAGAAAUGUUACACUAGAUAUUACAUUGAAAUAAAAAGAAAUACUCACUUGUUAAAAUACCUUCAUAUUAAAGGGGACUAAUUGCACAUUUUUUGUAAAUCAGUUAAUGGGGGUCUAAGUAUUAUGUAAUUGAUAUUCUUGUUCCUGAAAAAAAUCUCCAGCAGAACCUAUUGAAAAUGAAAACUGAAACAAAAUGUUGCUUAACAGUAAAAAAAAUUAUAUGUUAUUGUUAACUUCAAAGCUUGCUUAUUAAAAAUUGCACUGUCGCUUUAA